rnacentral:rRNA from 1 species
GAUGAACGCUAGCGGCAGGCCUAACACAUGCAAGUCGAGGGGUAGAACACUUCGGUGUUUGAGACCGGCGCACGGGUGCGUAACGCGUAUGCAAUCUACCUUGUUCAGGGGAAUAGCCCAGAGAAAUUUGGAUUAAUGCCCCAUAGUAUAUAACCUUCGCAUGUUGGUUAUAUUAAAGUUCCAACGGUACAAGAUGAGCAUGCGUCCCAUUAGUUAGUUGGUAAGGUAACGGCUUACCAAGACGAUGAUGGGUAGGGGUCCUGAGAGGGAGAUCCCCCACACUGGUACUGAGACACGGACAAGACUCCUACGGGAGGCAGCAGUGAGGAAUAUUGGUCAAUGGGCGCAAGCCUGAACCAGCCAUGCCGCGUGCAGGAAGACGGUCCUAUGGAUUGUAAAGCUCUUUUAUAAGGGACGAAAAAAGGCUUUCCUAAGUCGUCUGACGGUACCUUAUGAAUAAGCACCGGCUAACUCCGUGCCAGCCGCCGCUGUAACAC